rnacentral:rRNA from 1 species
GCGUUGUCCGGAAUUAUUGGGCGUAAAGAGCGUGUAGGCGGCGCGGUAAGUCCGCUGUGAAAGCCGAGGGCUCAACCCUCGAAUGCCGGCGGAUACUGUCGCGCUAGAGUCCGGAAGAGGCGAGUGGAACUCCUGGUGUAGCGGUGAAAUGCGCAGAUAUCAGGAAGAACACCAAUGGCGAAGGCAGCUCGCUGGGACGGUACUGACGCUGAGACGCGAAAGCGUG